UUCAAUUUAGCUAGUUUUAAUUAUUUUAUUUAAGUUUUUGAUUUUAAUUAGUAUAUAUUAAUAGGUUUUAAGCGAAUUAUAUGUGCUUUAAAUCCAAGUCAUUAUAAUUUAUUAAAUUCAGUUUAAAAAAAUAGUUUGGUUCUUUGCGCAUGCGCACAAAUGCACAUUUUCCCUGGUGCUAAAAGGAGUUUCCAGUCAGGUUCACGGUGACGGUGGGAAAGGAAGACGGGAUAUUUCAGCCCCGGAGUUUUGCUCAGUCGGUCUAUUUGCACAGACAGUCAACAAGAUGACUUAUUGAAAGACCUGGAAAACAUCACCAUGGGCAUAUGUGUAAUCAAAAAGAAAGAAGGUGUUCUUGGCGACUAUGACGAUAUUGGAGUCGUUGUUGGAGUGAUGAUUCUUGAGCAGCUCAAAUCUGUGGCACAAGCCUGCAUUGAUGCUGGGUACAAUCUAUGUGCUUAAUUUGGCGUACCCCAAAGAACUAAAAUACUACUUUUUUGAAUUUUUUUAGAAAUUCAUUAUGCAGAUGGAUUCUAAAGCUCUCCCCAAAAAUUCAAGGACUGAAAAACGUUUUAAAGGUGCAGUGUGUAAUUUUUAUCGUCAUCUAGUGGUGAGGUUGCGAGUUGCAACCAACGGCUUAGUCCACGGCUCACUUCUCGCUUUUGAAACACAUAGAGAAGGACAAACAUGUCAUCGUUGGAGACAACUUAGCAAAAAAUUGUCCUUUAAGGGCUUCUGUAAAAAAAAUGGCAGCACAAAAUGGCGACUUCCAUGUAAGGGGACCCUCGGUGUAUGUAGAUGAAAAGGUCUUGUUCUAAGGCAAUAAACACAUAACGGUUCAUUAUGAAAGGUGUUUAUACACCCGUGAUAAUAUAGUUUUGUAUGUUAUUUUGCAUUUCUGUCAAAAGAUCCUCUUAAAAAUUUCACCCUGCACCUUUAAUACUGAAAUGUUGUAGCAGACAUGUAUGUGCAUGCUCAGCAUGAAAUGUUAGUCCAGAUGUCACAGUCUACUCUGUUUAUCAUUUAAAACCUGGGAAUCCGUAGUUUUAAACAUUUUAAUAAUGCUUUUAAUGAUUCAUAACUGUUGUCUGUAAAAAUGUAACACUUUUUUUAAAAAUAAUUAUUGUGCAAUGUGUGAAGUCAGCACUGCU